rnacentral:rRNA from 1 species
GACGAACGCUGGCGGCGUGCUUAACACAUGCAAGUCGAGCGGUAAGGCCCUUUCGGGGGUACACGAGCGGCGAACGGGUGAGUAACACGUGGGUGACCUGCCCUCAGCUCUGGGAUAAGCCUGGGAAACCGGGUCUAAUACUGGAUAUGACUCCAUGACGCAUGUUGUGGGGUGAAAGCCUUGUGCGGCUGAGGGAUGGGGCCCCGCGGCCUAUCAGCUUGUUGGUGGGGUGANGGCCUACCAAGGCGACGACGGGUAGCCGGCCUGAGAGGGCGACCGGCCACACUGGGACUGAGACACGGCCCAGACUCCUACGGGAGGCAGCAGUGGGGAAUCUUGCGCAAUGGGCGAAAGCCUGACGCAGCGACGCCGCGUGAGGGAUGACGGCCUCGGUUGUAACGU